CCCCCGCAGGGUCACCGAGUCUCGAGAGCUUAGCGUUGACCUGGCACUUAGGGACUGUACCCAAUGACUAAGCCAUGAUUCAUGAAGUAGGAAAAGGAUCCCAGGAAAGAAGGGCUUUCCUGGAGCCCAAGGGGACAUCUACUUCUACCAGCAUGAAGUGGGGCCAUGGGGGACCCUCCCAGGGGGCACCGCUAGCAGCAGACCCCAGGCGGGAUUGUCCUUCCUCUGCACACGCCCUAACAUGAAUGGUCACAGGGGAGAGGUGGCCAGUCCUGUUGUCUGAAUCUGUUUGUCACUCAAUUACUCACUCGACAAACACUCAGGGGGGAGUUCCUGGCCAGGCACUGCUGACUGCUCUGAGCACUGGCGAUGGACAGAUUGUUAGGGCCUGGUUUGUGACCUCGAGGAAACCAGGGUGGUUCUGUGGGUUGAGGGGUGGCUCGUGGAUCUUUCCUGGGGUUGUCUCUCCCCCUUCCUGACAAAGGGAAGAUGUCUGGCCGAAAAGUCAUAGUUUGAGAAGUCAGAACUCAGACGCUCCAGCUCCAGCCCUCCUCAGGCAAGUGUGGGAUCAGCAGACCAGGAAAGCACUGGCAGACGAAAGUUUGGUGCGUUGACGUUUCAAGAGGCCGAUGAUCUGUCUCAGGAACUUGAAGUUACACAAUCAAAUGACACUCCCCACCCCCUACCCCAAAGGAGGAAAAUUAAGACAAAGCAAAACCAAAAUGCUUGCAAGUUCCUACCUCACUCAGAGGAAACGCGAAGUCCUCCCAGUGGCUCAGCAGGUCUGGCACCCCCCUUGCCCUCGCUCUGUCCCACUCACCUCUCACUUUCUCUGCCUCACUGGGCUCCUGGCUGCUCCUUGGGUAUCUCAAGCACACUCCUGCCUCAGGGCCUUUGCACAGGCUGCUUCCUCUGUCUGGAACACCCUUCCCUCUGAAUCCACCUGAAGAAGUUACCUCCUUCAAGUCUUCGCUUAAAUAUCACCUUUUCGAGGAGGCGUUCGCUAACCCCCAAACUCUCUACCCCCGUGUUUUAGGUUCUGCAUCACUCUCCCCACUAUCUGGUACAUUAGAUGUUUUAUUUAUUUAUCCUUAUUUUCUUUCUCCCCCAACUCAACCCGUAGCUCUGCCAAGGGCAGGAAUUUUUGCCAGUUUUGUUCACUGUUGUGUCCCUAGGUUUAAGCACAGAGGCUGGGUCCACAGUAGGUGGUCAAUAAAUGUUGGUUGUAUGAACGAUA